UAUGAACUACUCAUCUUGACAGUGUUUGGAUUUCACUUAAAUUCCAACACAAUUGCGAUAAAUACAGAGACUAAGUAGGUAUUACUUUGCCUCAGCAUUUUUCUUCUGUUUGAGAAAAAAUGAAUGGGAUUGGCUCCGUCUAUGGAGGAUCCCAUGUUUUCGUAGAAUCCUCCAUAGACUUAAAGGCUGUACUCUCAUGCAUGCGCAAGAGUUUUGAAGUGAUGUUGGCUGACAAAGGAGGUGCCCGUGAAUGACAGGUUCAGGUAUGUCGGACUUGCCUGUGCCCACCCCCAACCAACACCGGACCACCAGCGGUGAUAUCUGCAUGUGGAUUAUUUGCAAAGUCCCUAGACAGUGACAAGUUAUGUAAUGCAAAAGUCUUAACUGAAGCAGCUUCAAACACUUUAAAGCCCAAUAUAAUCUCUUCCUGUUGCACAAGUUACUCUUGGGACCCACCAUUGGCUAACCGUACCAUAUAGUGUCAUACACACUCAGAGCUUUGUUUAAAUCAAGUCUCAUUCAUUUUUCAGCAACAGACUGUUUAGUUUAGCAGAACUGGCCCACUCAGUACAGUGGAACCCUAGAAGACCCAGCAUGGCAGCACGGCCUGGGAAAAGGAAUUUUUUUAUUUUUUUUAUUCAAUAUACAGCAUUUUAAAAAUAAAAAAAGCAGAAAUUUGAUGACAGUUGGCCUUUAAUAAUUUUAAUACAGUACAUGUGUUAUUGCACAUCAAUAAUAUUUUACUUAUUAGCUUAUUUUAUAAUUGAAUGGGUUGGCAAUGUGGGUCCCUGUCAUAAAAGGUUAAACACUGUUUUAAUUGCUGUACUGUGAUAUUAUAAUUUAUUUAUAAUAGUGUAUAAAUAUUUAUCUGCAAAAGAUGGACAAGUUCCAUCAUGCAUGCUAAGCACAGUUGUCUUAUCUUUAGUUUGAAUAUGCUUUGUAGUUAUCCAAGUGUCUGGAAUGUCCUUAUAACCUAACCAGGAAGUGCCUCAAACCAUGUUAUCUACAAGACACCUUUGCUCAGAUGUUUAAUGAAAAACUGCUCCUUAGCGAACAAGAAAUGUGGAUAGAAUAUAUUUUAUUUCUUUACAAAUCACCUGAAGACAUGAACAGUAAAAUGUGUAAGCAAUUGAUGUGUGAAGUCCACAUGUUAAGCAUCUAAAAGAGACACUUCUGACAUCAAUACAACUUUAAAGGGUUACUCUAACAUUUCUUCCAUACCUCCUUUUUUUUUUUUUUCUCUUUUCUCAAAACUAAUAAUGCAUUAUUGGACAUUUAUUCUUUUGGCUUCUAUAAAUAUUAAAAUAACUAAAAAGCUAGGAAUGUAGGCUGGACUCUUAUCACUGGGUCAUUGGUCUUCCUAUCCCAACUUUGCCUGAAUGAUCAACUGCCUUGAGCACAGGCCCCAACAUCUGGUCCUCAAUGGGAUAUUGAUAAUAUUGCUCCAUUCUCUCCACGGAAGGCUGUUGGGAAUGGCUGAGGUGCUCACAGUAUAAUUCACAUUGUGGAUCGGACCACACUGCUGUUCUUGCAGUUAAUUUAUAUUUCCAACAUUUGUGUUCAGCAAUAGGCUCAGAUCAGCAUUGAUGACAAACCCUCCCCCCCUCCUGAAGUGUUAUGUACUGCAUUGCCAUAUACCUUUUUUUAAAAGUUAUUCCUUUUAUUCUAUUGCUAAUCUUAUGUACUGCUCAACUUUCUCAAUAAAACUUGAUUAACAAAAAACAAUAAAGUGCAACCUGAAAUCAAGGUGAUUCCUUCCUCCAUGACCAGUUCAAAAAGCA